UGCAAGUGGCUACAAUGUACCCAGAGAAGCAAGGAACCCUCAGAGUACUCACUGAAUAUUCAGAGAAGCAAGGGUGAGAACCAAGGGUAAGGAAGGCAGUUCUGCAGAUGAGAGACUGGGCAUGGCAUCCGAGUCCAAGCAAGGGGAAGAUACUCUUAAGAAAGGUAUUUGUUUCUUGAAAAACCCUUCUUCAUCCGGCUGUCCAGACUCCCAUGGCAUCGCCUGUGAUAGAACGCGAUCUACUGACCAGGAACAGCACCAACGUUAACUCAAUUGUUCUCUGGCUCAUGCCUAAUUACUCAAGAAUGUGCCCUGCGGAGCAGCUAUCAAUCCAGCAGAGGGACCACAGCAAACCAGCAGUUCAGAACCCAACCCAGCUGCUCUGUAGCUUGAAGCAGAGUUCCUAAGCUAAGCCCAGUCUGGAUCAUUCAAACCAUCGUCGAACUACAGUCUUACGAACAUACAAGUAAACGCUGGCUUUUGCAAGCCACUGAGUUUUACUGUC